rnacentral:rRNA from 1 species
UUGAACGCUGGCGGCAUGCUUUACACAUGCAAGUCGAACGGCAGCGCGGGCUUCGGCCUGGCGGCGAGUGGCGAACGGGUGAGUAAUACAUCAGAACGUGCCCAGUAGUGGGGGAUAGCUCGGCGAAAGCCGGAUUAAUACCGCAUACGACCUGAGGGUGAAAGCGGGGGAUCUUCGGACCUCGCGCUAUUGGAGCGGCCGAUGGCAGAUUAGCUAGUUGGUGGGGUAAAGGCCUACCAAGGCGACGAUCUGUAGCUGGUCUGAGAGGACGACCAGCCACACUGGGACUGAGACACGGCCCAGACUCCUACGGGAGGCAGCAGUGGGGAAUUUUGGACAAUGGGCGAAAGCCUGAUCCAGCAAUGCCGCGUGUGUGAUGAAGGCCUUCGGGUUGUAAAGCACUUUUGGCGGGAACGAAAAGGACUGUGCCAAUACCACGGUUCGAUGACGGUACCCGCAGAAUAAGCACCGGCUAACUACGU